GCCUUCUUAGCUCAGUUGGUAGAGUGCGUCACUAGUAAUGACGAGGUCAGUCGUUGAAAUCGGCUAGAAGGCA
rfam:Sphaerobolus stellatus SS14 unplaced genomic scaffold SPHSTscaffold_208, whole genome shotgun sequence.